AUUGAACGCUAGCGGCAUGCUUUACACAUGCAAGUCGAACGAGUGGCGGACGGGUGAGUAAUAUAUCGGAAAGUGCCCAGUAGCGGGGGAUAACUACUCGAAAGAGUGGCUAAUACCGCAUACUAUGGGAUCGGCCGAUAUCGGAUUAGCUAGUUGGUGGGGUAAAGGCUCACCCAGGCAACGAUCCGUAGCUGGUUUGAGAGGAGGACCAGCCACACUGGGACUGAGACACGGACCAUACUCCUACGGGAGGCAGCAGUGGGGAAUUUUGGACAAUGGGGGAAACCCUGAUGCAGCCAUGCCGCGUGUAUGAGAAGGCCUUCGGGUUGUAAAGUACUUUUGGCAGGGAAGCGGUAUCUGCAGAAGAAGCACCGGCUAACUCCGUGCCAGCAGCCGCGGUAAUAC
rnacentral:rRNA from 1 species